rnacentral:rRNA from 1 species
GAUGAACGCUGGCGGCGUGCUUAACACAUGCAAGUCGAGCGGAAGGGCGCUGCUUUUGCGUGGUUCUCGAGUGGCGAACGGGUGAGUAACACAUGAGUAACCUGCCCUUGACUUUGGGAUAUCUUCAGGAAACUGGGGCUAAUACCGGAUAGGAGCUCCUGCUGCAUGGGGGGGGUUGGAAAGUUUCGGCGGUUGGGGAUGGACUCGCGGCUUAUCAGCUUGUUGGUGGGGUAGUGGCUUACCAAGGCUUUGACGGGUAGCCGGCCUGAGAGGGUGACCGGCCACAUUGGGACUGAGAUACGGCCCAGACUCCUACGGGAGGCAGCAGUGGGGAAUAUUGCACAAUGGGCGGAAGCCUGAUGCAGCAACGCCGCGUGCGGGAUGACGGCCUUCGGGUUGUAAACCGCUUUCGCCUGUGACGAAGCGUGAGUGACGGUAAUGGGUAAAGAAGCACCGGCUAACUACGUG